UACGAAGGGGGCUAGCGUUGCUCGGAAUCACUGGGCGUAAAGGGUGCGUAGGCGGGUCUUUAAGUCAGGGGUGAAAUCCUGGAGCUCAACUCCAGAACUGCCUUUGAUACUGAGGAUCUUGAGCUCGGGAGAGGUGAGUGGAACUGCGAGUGUAGAGGUGAAAUUCGUAGAUAUUCGCAAGAACACCAGUUGCGAAGGCGGCUCACUGGCCCGAUACUGACGCUGAUGCGCGAAAGCCAGGGGAGCAAACGGG
rnacentral:rRNA from 1 species